CGAGGUGUAGCGCAGUCUGGU
rnacentral:siRNA from 1 species